rnacentral:rRNA from 1 species
UACAGAGGGUGCGAGCGUUAAUCGGAAUUACUGGGCGUAAAGCGCGCGUAGGCGGCUUUGCAAGUCGGGUGUGAAAUCCCCAGGCUCAACCUGGGAACUGCAUUCGAGACUGCAUUGCUAGAGUAUGGGUGAGGGAAGUGGAAUUUCCGGUGUAGCGGUGAAAUGCGUAGAUAUCGGAAGGAACAUCAGUGGCGAAAGCGGCUUCCUGGACCGAUUACUGACGCUGAGGCGCGAAAGCUAGGGGAGCAAACGGG